ensembl:lncRNA
GGCAAAUUAAAGCUGUGGGUUGACUGACUGCUAGACGUCCCAGAGGAUCCAGUCGAUGCACCAAAAUACCUUCCGAGGGGACGUAAAAACACUAUCGCAACAGUUACGAACGAAGAAAAGAGAUAACGAUAACUGGGUGCCAAGAAGACCACUCCUCCUCUUUUCCAAGAGGACUAGGAGUACUCCGUCUUAGGAACCACUGCUGUUGCAGGCAGUCGUCUGCAGAGGUUACUGUAUGAAGCUUUUAAGGCCUUUUUGGCGGCACCGCUGAAAAGAGAUGGCACGAGCCAGGCAACCACAGACCCUUGUUCUUGAUUCGUUGCAGACUUUCUAUGUUGCGUCACCACCCCUGAAUAAAGCCUCAACGACACAUGACAGAAAGGUUACUGUCGGAGCUUCAGCUACUAAAGUGGAAGUGUUCUGCCACAACCCCAGAAGUCACUGGACUGCACCCUCACACAACUUGUCCCUCCAGCACUUUGUGUUCCUCAUUGCAGCUUAAAACAGCUGAUUAAACCUUUCUGUCUGACUGCUCGAUGUGGAGGCAGGAGAAAUCCUCUUAAACAGGCGAAGAAAGUCUCUUUAAAAACAAUGAUACGUUUAGGCUUAUCUUAUCUGUUCUGAUCUCAUCUCAUCUCAUCUCAUCGGAUCUCAUCUGAUCUCAUCUCAUCUGAUCUCAUCUCAUCUCAUCUCUUCUUAUCUUUGGUUGUAUGCUUCUGACAAGGUCUAAUUAUUUUCAUUUUAAAUGGACAGUGAGUUUAGAAAUGGUAUCCCUAAUCUUAGGCCUAUAGUUAGAUUUUUUUUGCUUAACUUGUUGUUGUGGGAGACAUUGGAUAUUAGGGCAUAUAAUAUCCACUGUAAUGUAACAAAAUGUGGAUAAAGGGAAGGGGUCUGAAUACUUUCCCGAAUGCACUGUAAAUCAGGCUAAAAUAGUUUGUUGUUUGUCUGUGUUUACUUGUUGAUGUCACAGUGACUGCUGAUGGAGAGCAGACCUGACUCCGGCCACGCGGACACAUUGUCGUAGUUCUAAAUCAACAUCAGGUCACAUGCAUUCAGCAUGAUGCUACUGAGGUUUAAUAAUAGCCCUGGUUCUAAUGUAGAGGUCAGAUACACACUGCUCCUGUCCUGUUUGCAAAGUGUCUUCAUUCUCCACCUUAGUCUAUUAUAGUUAUCAUCCUAUACUGAACAAAAUUAUAAACGCAACAUGUAAAGUGUUGAAAUUAAAGAUCCAAGAUUAAAUAUUCCAUAUGCACAAAAAGCUUAUUUCUCUCAAAUUUUGAGCACAAAUGUGUUUACA